ACAACCCUCCUUUAAUUAUUGUUACGAGGGACAACGACUUAAUCAACCAAUUAAAAUGUCCAAAAAAGUCGUAGUAUCAGAAGAUGUGCAUAAUCUUAGCGAAACUAGUGAUGAUGACAAUAUUCCACCGGCACAACCCAAAAAGAAGAGAUGUCCCAAAACGGAAGAAACCAGCCAGGAACCUUCCAAUAGUGAAAUUCUUCAAUUGUUAUUAUUACAGAAUCAAACAUUAUUGAAACUAGUGGAGAAAGGAAGUGGUUCGACUGCAAAAAGGAAUGACAAUACUCCUCCUCCUAAGCGCCCUCGCCGUAAAGUAGAUUUACCUGAGAAUGCAAAUGAAGAAUUAUUUACAACUUAUAAUGAAGAUAGUAGUGACUAUGAAGAAUUUAACCCGCUUACCUUUAACAAACCUAUUCCUACUUAUAUAUCUAACAAUUUUAAUGCUGUGCCCUCCAUUCAUAGAGAUGGGAAUAUACAAUUAAAUGACUCCCUAAUUGCAUUAACAUUAAGUGAAGGAGACAAGAACUCUCAUGAUCAAUUCUUUGUUUGUAAUCAUAAUAAAGAACUUGCAGACCUUUUCAAAUUGAUAAAUUUGCCAAAGUUGAACUUUUGGCCAAGUGGCAGGUUGUUUAAUGAAGAUUCAAGAAGAAAUUUCACCUUGAUAUUGAAAACAUUAAAAUGGCUAUAUCUUCUUUUCAAGGGCAUGCAGCUCUGGCGCAAUUAGCUUACCCCUCUAAGAUUAACGAUAUUGAUUUCAUUACUAAAGUGAUAAUUGGGCCUUUCAGGAAACACAUUGAUCUAAUUAAAAGUUUAAUCCGCUCAUUCAGAAGUAGAUCUUUACCCAGGAACCUCAAUUUAGAUACCAGAGAUGCUAUUAUUAAAGCUGAAACUAAUGAUAUAUGGGUCUUAUCAGAUGAUCAAAGGAAAGCUAUUGCUUCGUGCUUUCGAGGCGGUCCCCUUCCUAGAGGAGGGGACAUUAUCUCUAGAGGUGGAAGGUUCAACUUUCGCAAGCAUCAGGGCUACCCCAAGAGGGAAAUUUAACUUUUACAGAGGAUUCAGGGGAAGCUUUGGGUUCAGGAAUAGGUUCAAUCCCUACAGGCGAGGUAUCAAGAGAGGUGGCCGAAGAGGUGGAAGGAGUACAGGGGGACAGACAGCAAUUAAUUCAGACGUCAAAGAUAAGAAACAAAACUAAUUAUGCUUUAAUUCUUAAUACCAUCGAGCCCUGCUCGGACCAAGAGGAAAAUAACCUGGAGCUACACAGUAAAGAUAAAAAUUUGGCAAAUGUACCCACUAACAAUUCAAUGAUAUUGGAAGAGUUAAAUUUCCCUACAGAAGCCUCUAGCUCCAAGGAAACCUCUCACGCCCCUCCAGUAAGUGGGAUAGGUAGGUCAUUGACAAAUAAAUUAAAAAAUUGGCAAAAACUCCCAAAUUCUUCUUUUGCAUGCAACUUGAUCAGUAAGGGUGUGAGACUCCCAUUUACCAAUAAAAAUAAGGCUCAAAAGACUUUGAAAAGAUUAGG